rnacentral:rRNA from 1 species
CGCGGCCUAUCAGCUUGUUGGUGAGGUAAUGGCUCACCAAGGCGACGACGGGUAGCCGGCCUGAGAGGGCGACCGGCCACACUGGGACUGAGACACGGCCCAGACUCCUACGGGAGGCAGCAGUGGGGAAUAUUGCACAAUGGGCGAAAGCCUGAUGCAGCGACGCCGCGUGAGGGAUGACGGCCUUCGGGUUGUAAACCUCUUUCAGCAGGGAAGAAGCGAAAGUGACGGUACCUGCAGAAGAAGCGCCGGCUAACUACGUGCCAGCAGCCGCGGUAAUACGUAGGGCGCAAGCGUUGUCCGGAAUUAUUGGGCGUAAAGAGCUCGUAGGCGGUCUGUCGCGUCGGAUGUGAAAGCCCGGGGCUUAACCCCGGGUCUGCAUUCGAUACGGGCAGACUAGAGUGUGGUAGGGGAGAUCGGAAUUCCUGGUGUAGCGGUGAAAUGCGCAGAUAUCAGGAGGAACACCAGUGGCGAAGGCGGAUCUCUGGGCCAUUACUGACGCUGAGGAGCGAAAGCGUGGGGAGCGAACAGGAUUAGAUACCCUGGUAGUCCACGCCGUAAACGGUGGGGACUAGGUGUUGGCGACAUUCCACGUCGUCGGUGCCGCAGCUAACGCAUUAAGUUCCCCGCC